GCGUGAAUCUUCCGCAAUGGACGAAAGUCUGACGGAGCAACGCCGCGUGAGCGAUGAAGGCCUUCGGGUCGUAAAGCUCUGUUGUUAGGGAAGAACAAGUGCUAGUUAAAUAGCCUGGCCCCUUGCCGGACCCAAACCAAAAACCCCCGGCAAAUUCCUUGCCACCACCCCCGGAAAUUUAAAAAAAA
rnacentral:rRNA from 1 species